rfam:Parcubacteria bacterium GW2011_GWE1_40_20 TT89_C0002, whole genome shotgun sequence.
AGCGGGGUAGAGAAGCAGUAUCUCGGUAGGCUCAUAACCUGCAGACCCACGUGCAAAUCGUGGCCCCGCAA